CAGAUAAGGCAAAGUUCCCCAAAUUCUGGUACUCUGGAUCCAUUCCACAUGCUGACCCCAGCCUGCCUGUUGACUGCAGCUUCACUCAGGCCAGUGCACCACCGCUUCACUGGGGGUGUUAGUAGAGAUAAUAUCAUAUGACUUUUGAAUGCAAGUCAAAGGAAACACUUGUGCUUGCUCUGUGGAAACCCAGCUACACAUCAUACAGAGAGUAACAACUGGCAGGCCAAUACGAAUGUGCCAUUAUGGAAGAAGACUCUCCUGCAUCCUGAGAACCAUCAGAUUAAUUUGUAGGUUCGCUUGUGAUUUCAAUCAAAAUUCUACCCAUCCUUUAAUAAGAAAAAUGCAUCAGUGUUUGCCUGAACUCUGG
rnacentral:lncRNA from 1 species